UUUAAUUAAGUUAAUAAAAUAAGCAGACUCAAUAACUUAACUGAUUCAAAUUAAGUGAGUUAAGUUAUUAAGUAAAAAAAAAAAAAACAGCCCAUCUUAAGAGAACUUAAUGAAUCUUAUCCUCAAAAUAUGAGUGGCAGUAAGGCAUAAAAGGAGAAUAUUAUAAUGAAAAUGAAAGGCAAACGCAUGUAACUACAAGUUAAUAAUAAAGGAAAUUCCAUAUUUGAAAAAAGUUAGCAUCUUUUAAACAAGAAAGUUCAAGUCUUAAACAGACUAGGAGA
rnacentral:lncRNA from 1 species